ensembl:lncRNA
AUUUUUUAGGAACCUCCAUACUGUUUUCCAGAGUGGCUGCACCAGUUUACAUUCCCACCAACAGUGCGUGAGUGUUGUGUUUUUUCUCUGCAUCCUCCCCAGCACUUGUUAUUUCUUGUCUUUGAUAGGGUUCUGACAGGUAUGAGGUGAUAUCUGAUUGUCAUUUUGAUUCAGAUUUCUCUGAUGAGUAUUGAUACUGAGCAUCUUCCGUGUAUCUGUUGAUGUAAUAGACACUCCUACCUCAUUCCUUCGCCUUUCCCUUUUAGUCUUUCCAGGGUGAUGACGACACCAAGGCCUCUGAAAGAUUAACUCCCCAUUUGAAUCUUCCAUCAACAGUUGAAGAAAGCCUGGAAUCGAGAUUUGUGGUGGGAAGAUGGAGCUGAUGAUACCCAGGAAUUUAAAGCACCACUCAGCACCAACUAACUGGUGGUUAUCAGCCUUUCCUCACAACUGUCUGUUCUUCAGGAUUCAACUUCCUUCUUCUCUUCUGAGUGUGGGCUCGUCCCUUUCGUGGACUAUGAGUCCGUGAGGGCUAGGGUUUCUACGUAUGAAUUCAACAUUAAAAGCCAAGCAGCGCAGAAGAACAACAUGCUCAAAGUCUGCAGACCCGGGGGAGAAGCACUGUGGGCUGUCAAAUCAGCUCUGCGUGUGUGGAGUGGGCCAGGCUGGAGGCCUGCAUGUUUCCAGAUUCUUGACCCAGCUGUAUAUGGAAGCCUGAGAUCUUCCAAACAUGAAGCAGAAGGUCAAAGGAGCUCUCGCCCUACCAGACCUGCUUACAUUUCCCUGAAAACAUUGCUGUAGCAAUCCAAGGCCAACCGAUCCAUCAAGCAAAUAGCCAUGAGCAUCUGCUGUAUUCAAGACAGUUCGGUCAAGGGAGUAAAGACAAAGACAAGCUCCUUGAUCAUGAAGUAUUUAUCCUCAACUAAGAGCAGUAAGUUGAUACAUACAAACGUUACCUAGAUGUGUUAAGUUCUUCUUCUAGGUUUUAUNAUUUUAGUGCUAUUUCUGUCAAGAGUCCAUGUUGCUAUUUAUGUAUGUAUUCUUUCCUUCCUUCCUUCCUUCACUCAGCAAAUAGCCAUGAGCAUCUGCUGUAUUCAAGACAGUUCGGUCAAGGGAGUAAAGACAAAGACAAGCUCCUUGAUCAUGAAGUAUUUAUCCUCAACUAAGAGCAGUAAGUUGAUACAUACAAACGUUACCUAGAUGUGUUAAGUUCUUCUUCUAGGUUUUAUAUUCUUUUUUUUUUUAAGAUUUAUUUAUUUAUUUGAGAGGGAGGGGCUAGGGAGGGAGAGAAUCUCAGGCAGACUCCCUGCUGAGUACAGAGCCUGAUGCAGGUCUCAAUCUCAUGACCCUGAGAUCAUGACCUGAGCCAAAAUUAAGAGUUGGAAGCCUAACCGACUGAGUCCCUCAAGGAUUCAUAUUCUUACCAACAGUGUGAUUCCUCAUCCCAUUUGACCACGUGAAGUCCCAUGGUUUAGCAGGUCCCCCUCCCAAAUGCUUGUUCCUCUGGGAAACUUCCAAGUAAAGCACACAUAUCCCCAAAUCUCACUCCAGCUGUAGUUGUAGACUCGACUCACAACACAAUGCUCUAUUCUCUC